rnacentral:lncRNA from 1 species
CUUUGGCCUAUGCCAGAAAUGUUUAGAGAUUGUCAUAUGGCUUGUAGCCCAGCCUAUCAGCGAGACACUGGGUACAAAAGCUAUUUUGACUUCCCGUAUCGAGUAACAAUCGGGCCGUUAAAGGUUUCCCGUUUUUGUCGAAAAUGGUUACUUUGGUCGUAGCUAGAAUUAUGUUUAAAUUUUUUACGGACAAAGCAGAAAAGGAAUUUGUAAAAGUUCUUGCCCUUGAAACGAAGGACCUUGAAAGUUUGAAUUUGACGAAUGCUCGCGUUCGUAAUUGUUUGAAUUUGUAGAAGUGGACGAACUUUCAUUUUUACGGGUCGUAGAAAAAGUAUUAUGUUUACCCGGAUUAUUAUUUGGUGCCAGAAUGUGAAGAAUUGUGUUACGGCGGCUUUUACAAACGGUACAUGCAUAUUUUGAUGAACAAUCUUUAGAAUUAUGCCUACCUAGGCAGUUUACGCAGAGACCUUUUGAAUUCACGAAUUUUAUUUUGUCAUCAUGCUGAAUGUUUUUGAAAAAGUGACAUUUGUAAAUUUUAUGACCUUGCUUUUUGCAGAAAAUGCAAUAAAAAUCAGAAACUAAAU